CUUGGCUUUGUUCUUGUACACCGCGUCGUCGUACUUAUCCGGGAACGCCACCUUCGCGAUCGUGCCGAAGACGAAUAUCGUGCCGACGAUCGCGCCCCACGCGGGGAGGAUGAUGCUCGCGGCGUUGACGAACAUCUCGUCGAACGCGGUCGUGUCGAACGGGAGGUCCACCGCGAGCUGGGGGAUCACCUCCUCGACGCUCGCGCUGUUCGCGGCGGGACGACGAAGACGGAGAGGGAGAGGGAGAGGGAUGGGAGGGAGGACGUCUCAGCGGCGAGCUCGAGCGCGGGCGCGGAGAACGAGAGAGCGGAGUCGAUCGCGCGGAGGGAUCGAGGGGCAGCGCGAGCGCGACGACGCGAGCGCGGACGACGCGAGCGCGGACCUGACGACGACGCCCGCGCGGCGGGACGCGACGGACGAGGUGCCGCGCUUCGCGAUCCCGAUCGCUCCGCGGACGACGCGAGCGUUGCUCGCGCGCGCGUUCGAGGACACGGGCGCGCGGAGGAGGGCCGACACGGAGGUCGAAGCGACGGCGGCCAUCGUUGCGUUGAGAGGUGUGAUGACUGCGCGGGUGCGUU
rnacentral:lncRNA from 1 species